CCUGCCAUCUCUCGAACAACAUGGAAAGGGGGCACAGGGCCGACACCAAAGGCCCCAAGGUGUAGGGAGGACCUUGACUCCUUCUGAAGCUCUCCUCACCCCUAAGUCUCCCCUCUUCCUUUCUUCCCUCUUAAACGGUUCUAGAUGUAGCGCUUCGUCCCAUUUUACUUUAGCUGCAUUUUUACCUCUGACUUGGGAUGACAGCCCAGCCCUUGUUUGCAUGAGCUUAUAAACACAAACUGGAAGUCUUUCUCAUUAACAUGCACGGGGCGGGGGGGUCUCAGAGAAAGGUGAGCCCUGCUGACGCGGCUUCAGCGCACUGCUGGCUCAUUUUUGCAGGGGCUGGACCUGCCUUCUUUUUCCACUAGGGCGUGAAAGCAAACCUUUGUUUUCUUAACGUAAAACACAGGCUGCUUCCACCGGAGCCAGGGUUGCGAAGCCUGCUUCCCAGCCCUCCUCUCCCUGCAGCUGGGGCCUCAGACAUCCACCUGCAGAUCCAGCCCACCUGCAGUUACUUCUCUGGAUUAAAGAAGGUCAAGGAAGAGAAAGAGCGCGGGCAUCGCUCCAGAAUCAGGUCCUGCCCUCAGGCCCCUGACUUGUGGGUUUUGUAGAGUUCCAGCCUCAUUUCCUGCCUUGGUUUUCAUUCUAGAAACAGAAUCUACACCUCAUACUGUGCCACCAUCCCAGCCUGGCUGCCCACAGAAUCCCCUAUAGCCAAGACUUUGUCCAUCCUUCCUUCAUCCUUCAGCGAGGUCUGCCGCCUUCUCCAAGCCUCAUCUUGGAUUCUCAGAUGCUGCAGCCUGCUAAGACUGUGAUUCAGGGCUUUUCCUGACAAACCCUACUUCCCAUCUGGAUCAGCCUGACCCAAGGGAGACAGGACCUCCUAGGCUGUACCCCACCCCUCUGCUGUGUUUAACUAAGCUAAGCCUGGACAAGAGGGGCAAAUUGAUUCAAAGAGAAAUAAAUGACCAAAAAGAAUAUGGUGCAUGGAUAGGGUUAAAAUCAUGAUGAUCCUUAAAGAACCAAAUUUUAGGAAACAGUGUUUUAUGGGACGAUGUCAUCAAAAUUUCUUGUGCACUAAGAUGAUGAACUUCUCUCUCUUCUUCUGUAUAAGGGGUCUAAGAUUGUCUGCCUGGGGUGGUCGUUGGAAAGGUCAGAAAAAAGGUAAGCAGAACACUAGCCCAGUUCCUGGUAUACACAUUCAUGAGGCAUUAUUGUAUUGUUAUUGUUGUGGUUGUGGUUGCAUAGCCCAUAAUCAGGGGAUGCACCUUUGCCUCUGUAUUUCCUACACAGCCUGGAGCCUUCAAGAGAGAUGCUCAUGCCUGGGGUCCCUGCUCAGGCUGUCAUUUGGUUCAAUAAUGCCGCAAAGGGGUAGGAGGCAGAGUGUGCAGAGGUAUCUCCCGGGAGAGCAGGAUCACCUCCCAGGCCUGACCCAGGUGCUCCAGCUUUUCGGAACACUAUUUCGCUUCAACACACCACAAGGGCUCAAAUGAAAUCAUCUGCAAUAGGAUAAAGGAUUCCUAAGGCAGCAUUCUCGUCUCAUCUUCUCAAGAACUGAAGUAUGUAAGAUGCUUUCUGCUGGGGAUUCAUUGAGAUAAGUUAUUGAAGUCAAGCAGAGAGGCAGGCUUCCAGCACUCGGCUAUUCAUCUCAAAAUUUAUGUUCGUGCUUCCUUUUGAAGGUCUAAUGUAAUCACAAACAAUGCGCUUUCUGUAUGUUUAAAAAUUCAUAAGUUUCCCGUGCAAUGGAGGCGGAGGGUGAGGAACCCCCACCUUCAGGCUCAUUAGCAAUAGGAGGCUUGGAACAGCUGACUUGUUUUCGAUGUAAUUUCUACGGGACUGAGAUCCUGCUGUUAUUGAAAGCCAUUCAGUGGGGAGGAGGAACAAUGUCCACACAUCCUCAUUAACCUGGCCUGGGAAUCCGGCUGUGUGAUUGAUCUGCCAGAUGAUCUCUUUAUUUCUUGAAAACUGCUGCUCCCUCCCAUAUCUUGUUCUUUGGUCUCUGAGACAUGGCCCUUCUCCCCUCUCUGUGCACACAGGUGCCAUCCCAGUUCUGAACCUUAGCGUGGUCAUCUCAUUGGCCUCCCUGCCCAGGGCGGCCCCUCUCCAUUCCAGCCAGCUCACUGCUACCCUUCUGAUCCCCCCAGAACAGUGUUCUCCCCGAAGCUGCCACUGCAACAAGCCCUUUUAACUGCUAAGGGGAGAAGCAAACUGAAAUGCCUCAGAGUGUGCUUUGAGGCCCAACCACUCUGUCGCCCCUUGAAAUCCAGCGGCACAGGCCGUGAGAGCUGCCCUUGAGGGAGGCUCCAGGGAGGGAGCAGAGCAAGUCCCAGAGACCUGGGCUGCUGCUCCUCAAUCCAGCACUCUCCUCCACCAGACAGCUUCAAACAAAAGACUUGUGGAGUAUGAUUCAAGAGAAUGGAGGUUCUAAAGCCCAGCUUAUUCUAACACAGGUCACAAGACACUCCUAUUGAGAGGUGGGUCCCUGCGCUCCCCUUUUCAAUCUGUGAGGGCUUGUGUCUGCUCUGACUCACAGCAUAGGGCAAAAGUGACCAUGUGUGUCUUCUGAUGCUCUUGACUUGCUCUUAGAACUCUGAGGCUCCGUGUAAGAAGACUGACCGCCAUAUAAGAAAAGGCUACCAUGUUAUAAGAAAGCCCAAGCCACACAGAUAGGCCAUAUGUAAGUGUUUGGUUGAUAGUCUCAGCUGAGCCCAGCCUCUGAGGCAUCCUAUCCCCGGCACAGACUUGUGAGUACAGAAGCUUCCAGAUGUUCCAGCCCCCAACCAUUGGAGUCACACUCAACCAUUUAAAACUUCUCAGCUGAGCUCACAGACAUCAUGGAGCAGAGACAAUCCAUCCUCACUGUAUCUGUCCAAAUUUCUGCCCCACAGGAACCAUAAGCAUAGUGAAAGUUUGUGAUUUUCAUCCACUGAAUUUGGGAUGGUUAGCUGCACAGCAGUGGUUAAUGGAACGGAGAGAGAUGUUAAAAUUCCUCCCCCAUCCCUCUCCAGACAGGUCCUCUACGCAUAUUCUGGGUGCCUGAAAAAGUGCUGCCUCCCCCAAGGUUUCCAUAGGGGAAAAGCCCUGAGACCUUAUCGCUCAGAUUCUUCCCUCACUCAGCAGGGCAUGAGAAGACCUGGGGCUCAGGGCACACACAUCUUGACGAGGGCCUGAGUGGAUUGCAGCACAGAGAAGCCCCCAGGGGUGGGGGCUGUCCCGAGCCUGCAGUGGAGGGCCCCGGCAGCUGAUGCUGCAGCAGAGGCCUGGGCAGGAGCUGUGGGUGCAGAGGGAGAAAACCGGGCUAACGCAAGAGAUAGGCAGGAGCAUGCCAUAGAGCCGAGGUCAAUGGUAUCACCCAAAUACAUCUAGCUCAUUCAGCUCCUAAGUAUAAAAUAACCAAAUCUUCUAGAGAUCCUGAUUUCAACUCAAUUCUAUUCACGUAACAAGCACCCAGCAUCCAGGUCCGGGAGGAAAACAGAAUUGAAGAAGAUGCUGUAACCUCAAGUCGAUGGAAAUCUUUCUCUGCCCUGGGUCUCUGGAAAAUGCUAAGCAAUAUAGAACGAUAAAUAUAAAAGCCUUUGCAGAAAUCGCAGCCCUGGGAAGCCCAAGGCACAUUCUGCUUUACCAUUCUACCAAUUGCAGGGGUCUCUUACUUUGGAGGGGAGGGGUGAGGCUGUCCCCUCCCUGUGUGUCAAGCUCAGAGCAGAGCAGAGGGUCUCCGAGCACAAAUGCAGUCCUCCAAAGGAAACCUCGGCAACACCCUGUGGCUAAUCCCACCGCUUUGCCAGCUGGCUGCAAAGGAGAGCCUGGAAAAGCCUCGUUAAACCACACAAAGCCGGCCUAAGAAGCAACAAAGUGGGUUGCAGCUGCCUCGUGAGCCGGCUGCGCCUGAUUGCCUGUGAUCCCCACUCAGCUUGCGGCCAGCGCGCCUGCUGACACAGCCUGUUGUGUUGGAGACCUUAUUAUUGCAAAUUCCCUUUCCACCCCGCAGAUUCCUCGGAAAUUGCAAACAUGUCUGUUUUUGGCCAGCCCGCCUGGAAAGGUCACUGCCACAGCUAUUGGGCGCCACCGCCAUUUCACUCAUUCAGACACAUACAAACCGUAAUACUUGAGGUCGAAACAGUCACUUGCUGCUGCUUAAUACUGGCUAGACUCAGGCUGGGCCCUGGGCAGAGGCUGACAAGGCUUCGUCCCCACAAAGCGGUGACUCAAGUAUCCCUAGAGAUUCUCAUUUCGUUGAGCCGAUGUGAGUCUCUGGAUGCAGUAGUUUUUAAAGCUCCCUAGUUAAGAUAUGCACAGCAGUUUUGAGAACUACGGCCAUGAGAAGUGGGGCUAAUAGUUAUUGAUCACCUACUGUAUACCAGGCCGAAUAUACUACAAACUUUCUUGUUUCUUCCAUAAAACAGCUAUGAGUGAGGUAUUUCCUCCUUGGAGGAGUGAGGAAAUUAAAGUUUAGAGAAGUUAAAAGUG
rnacentral:lncRNA from 1 species